GAUGAACGCUAGCGGCAGGCCUAAUACAUGCAAGUCGGACGGGAUUGAGGAGCUUGCUCCUCAUGAGAGUGGCGCACGGGUGCGUAACACGUACGUAACCUACCUUAAUCAGGGGGAUAGCCUCUCGAAAGAGAGAUUAACACCGCAUAAAAUCACACUAUGGCAUCAUAGAAUGAUCAAAUAUUUAUAGGAUUAAGAUGGGCAUGCGCAACAUUAGCUAGUUGGUAAGGUAACGGCUUACCAAGGCUACGAUGUUUAGGGGAUCUGAGAGGAUGGCCCCCCACACUGGUACUGAGACACGGACCAGACUCCUACGGGAGGCAGCAGUAAGGAAUAUUGGUCAAUGGGCGGAAGCCUGAACCAGCCAUGCCGCGUGCAGGAAGACGGCCCUACGGGUUGUAAACUGCUUUUAUACGGGAAUAAACCUACUUACGUGUAAGUAGCUGAAUGUACUGUAAGAAUAAGGAUCGGCUAACUCCGUGCCAGCAGCCGCGGUAACAC
rnacentral:rRNA from 1 species